rnacentral:lncRNA from 1 species
CUAAAUUUGUUAUUUGCAGUAGUAGACACAGUGAUGAUCAUGACACCAACAAUCUGCCAAAAGGGGUCCAACUUUGCAAUAUGGACAUGACUUCAGCGGAAGAGAAGUAGUUUCCACUAAAUAAUUCUACUUUAUAAUGGGCGUGGAGGUGGGGCGGGGGGGACGCCAAUUUAUCGUGGCAAAAUACUAAAAUAGGAUAGAUAGGAAUUUUUAUGUCUUUCUUUGCCCAUGCAAUCGAGAAUGACAUUGAGAGCUUGACACAGCCCAACAAUCUGCCAAAAGGAAGACACCAAAUUUCAAUGAAAACAAGUAAAUAAUUUCACACUUAUCGUUACAAUAGGCCAAUGUUGGUAUGAAAUUUCAUCCUGAACAAAAUAUUGCAAUAUUUCAGACUAACAAAAGGGGAUUUAAUUUGUUUAAGAUUCAAAUGCUUGGUUUAAUAUG